AGUAUCAUAUAAAAUAUUUUUAAAAUGUGCGAACUUUGUGCGUCGACAACUUUCAUAUGAAACUUUUUCUCGAAAGUUCUAUUGAGAGACUAAAACGCGCGAAAAGAAAACUUUGCGCUACUGUUGGCCACUCUAGCCCCACCAUCGUUCCACACACAAGAUAGUACAAAUACAGCAGUAGCAGCAGUUAAAGGACCAGAAAUCGGAGAAGUGUAGGAAGUAAACCAAGGCAUAUCAAACAUCCAAAACCCAUGAUAAAGUUGGCCUGCUUUGGCUGUUGCGAACAUUUUCUUGCCAAGUGUGUAUUCAAAGCUGCCCUGAUAACCUUUGACAUGUUUGGGACCACUAUCCAUACCGUAAACAACUUGAAAUAUUCAUAUUUACUUCAAGUACGUUGGCAUGUGCGAGUCGAUUUCUUGAAGAAAUGUUGCACAUAUUCCUGAAGAUGGCCGUGGUUGCACUGCUAGCAACGGCAGUGUUUUCACGGACAAUUGAUGAUUUUAUUAUCAAUCCUGAAGAGUUUGAACGUCUUCAAAACACUGCCACCACCGGAAGUUACAUGAUUGUAGACCGAUUUUUGGCCGAUAUUAAAUGUAAACCGAAACACGUAAAAAUCGCAGGCAAAUGUUUCCGAAUAUACUGAAAAUCCGUUUAGUUGAAGUUCUACUUUAGCUUUAUUUCAAAAUGUUUUGAUAGUUUGCCAAUAAAUAGUCCGAUGGUUGA
rnacentral:lncRNA from 1 species